AUUGAACGCUGGCGGCAGGCCUAACACAUGCAAGUCGAGCGGAUGAAGGGAGCUUGCUCCUGGAUUCAGCGGCGGACGGGUGAGUAAUGCCUAGGAAUCUGCCUGGUAGUGGGGGAUAACGUCCGGAAACGGGCGCUAAUACCGCAUACGUCCUGAGGGAGAAAGGGGGGGAUCUUCGGACCUCACGCUAUCAGAUGACCCUAGGUCGGAUUAGCUAGUUGGUGGGGUAAAGGCCUACCAAGGCGACGAUCCGUAACUGGUCUGAGAGGAUGAUCAGUCACACUGGAACUGAGACACGGUCCAGACUCCUACGGGAGGCAGCAGUGGGGAAUAUUGGACAAUGGGCGAAAGCCUGAUCCAGCCAUGCCGCGUGUGUGAAGAAGGUCUUCGGAUUGUAAAGCACUUUAAGUUGGGAGGAAGGGCAGUAAGUUAAUACCUUGCUGUUUUGACGUUACCAACAGAAUAAGCACCGGCUAACUUCGUG
rnacentral:rRNA from 1 species